AUAGCAUAUCAAUAAGCGGAGGAAAAGAAACUAACAAGGAUUCCCCUAGUAACUGCGAGUGAAGCGGGAAAAGCUCAAAUUUAAAAUCUGGCGGUCUUUGGCCGUCCGAGUUGUAGUCUGGAGAAGUGCUUUCCGCGCUGGACCGUGUAUAAGUCUCUUGGAACAGAGCGUCAUAGAGGGUGAGAAUCCCGUCUUUGACACGGACUACCAGUGCUUUGUGAUGCGCUCUCAAAGAGUCGAGUUGUUUGGGAAUGCAGCUCAAAAUGGGUGGUGAAUUCCAUCUAAAGCUAAAUAUUGGCGAGAGACCGAUAGCGAACAAGUACCGUGAGGGAAAGAUGAAAAGCACUUUGGAAAGAGAGUUAAACAGUACGUGAAAUUGCUGAAAGGGAAACGCUUGAAGUCAGUCGCGUCUUCCGGAACUCAGCCUUCCUUUUGGUUGGUGCACUUUCCGGUAGACGGGCCAGCAUCGAUUUCGACCGUCGGAAAAGGGCUGGGGAAAUGUGGCACCUUUCGGGGUGUGUUAUAGUCCUCAGUCGCAUACGUCGGUUGGGAUCGAGGAUCGCAGCGCGCCGCAAGGCAGGGGUUCGCCCACUUUCGCGCUUAGGAUGCUGGCAUAAUGGCUUUAAACGACCCGUCUUGAAACACGGACCAAGGAGUCUAACAAACCUGCGAGUGUUUGGGUGGAAAACCCGAGCGCGUAAUGAAAGUGAAAGUUGAGACCUCUGUCGUGGAGGGCAUCGACGCCCGGACCUGACGUUCUCUGACGGAUCCGCGGUAGAGCAUGUUUGUUGGGACCCGAAAGAUGGUGAACUAUGCCUGAAUAGGGUGAAGCCAGAGGAAACUCUGGUGGAGGCUCGUAGCGAUUCUGACGUGCAAAUCGAUCGUCAAAUUUGGGUAUAGGGGCGAAAGACUAAUCGAACCAUCUAGUAGCUGGUUCCUGCGUCU
rnacentral:rRNA from 1 species